rnacentral:rRNA from 1 species
UACGGGGGGGGCAAGCGUUGUUCGGAAUUACUGGGCGUAAAGGGCUUGUAGGUGGCCAACUAAGUCAGACGUGAAAUCCCUCGGCUUAACCGGGGAACUGCGUCUGAUACUGGAUGGCUUGAGAUUGGGAGAGGGAUGCGGAAUUCCAGGUGUAGCGGUGAAAUGCGUAGAUAUCUGGAGGAACACCGGUGGCGAAGGCGGCAUCCUGGACCAACACUGACACUGAGGAGCGAAAGCCAGGGGAGCAAACGGG